rnacentral:misc_RNA from 1 species
UAGUAGAGAAAUUUCGUACUACUUUAUCGUUGCGUUGUCGUCUGCGUUUUGGGCGGCUUGACGACCAAUGUUUGGUCCAAGAAGAAGAUCUACGAUGCUGUCAUUUUUCUAACGUCCGGUUGAAGCCAUUCUGAGAAGGUCAUAACUCAUAAGGAAGGUUACGUAAGUGUCAUGCGGUGGUGUAAGGUUGGGUGAGAAUUGAGAAAAACACGUGUUCAUCAUUAUAAACUACAGUUGUAGGUCAUAAGGAACAUUACGUAAAAGUGUCAUGCGGUGGUGUAGAGGUUGGGUAAGAAUGACACGUGUUUCAUCAUUAUCAAGCAGACCCAUCCCCAGCAACGUCUUCCUGCAGAAGGAAAGGCCGGUUUGCAUUUCAAUUGAAGGUCAUGGAGAUCAUUACGUAGAACGUGUCAUGCAGUGGUGUAGAGGUUGGGUGAGAACGGGACGUUUUUCAUCAUUAUCAAGAAGGUAGAAUAGCCGCAAGGCUCGAGAGGUGAGGGUGAGAAAAAAAUCGUAUAAAAGGAGAGAGAAAAGGCGACAGAGAUCAGUCGAGUGAGAAUCUCUGCCCCGUCAACAACUGAUUACUUGUCACCAACUGCAUUCUUCCCAUUUCCCAUUCGUAAUCGUAGAUAACUAUGGCGUCGUUCUGCUGUUGGUUAUCGUUGUGUCGACCAGUGAUGUACCAAUGUCUCCUAGGUAUGGUGGUUACCAAAUCACUACCCCGCCGUCUUACAACAGAACAACAUCAAACGUAACGACCAGUUACUUCACCAAGCCCCCCAACUAUUACACUGAGGAGGCCGAAUGUUGCACAGCCACGUAUGCUGCCCCAGUUUACUUCACCGAGGUCCCCAAAUAUUACUCUGCUCCCAGCUACUACCAGAGGCUUCUGACUACACUAAGGCCCCCGAGUAUUAAAUUGCAACUUACGCUGCCCCCAGAUACUACACUGAAGCUCCGAAGUUAUCCACCACCAAGGAAAUGGAACACCCCAACCUACGCUUCUCCACCUUACUACACACGGCAACCUGCGCUAUUAGUCACCAAGUGCAGUCUUGAUCGUGCAACCAAUUCUCAUGCAUUUGGCGUCGUGCUGCUGUUGGGUGUUCUAUCGUUGAUAGCGGGUCUACCACUGGUGUACCAGACUCCACCGAGGUUGGAGGUGAAACAGGACGAGAAAAAUUCGUAAAGAAGGAGAGGGAAAAGGCGAUGGAGAUCAGUCGAGUGAGAAUCUCCGACCCGGCAACAACUGUACUAUUUGUCAUCAACUGCAAUUCCAUUCUCCAAUGCUCCUUCCAAUUAUCAAUCAUGGUUAACUAUGGCGUCGUUCUACCGUUGGUUAUCGUUUAUUGCUGGGUCGACCACUGUUGUACCGAUGUCUCAUGGGUAUGGAGGAUACUAAACCGCAACGUCGCCGCCUAACUACACAACAUACGCAACAACCAGUUACUACACCGAGGCCCACAAGUAGGCCUACUACUCCGAUCCCAACUACUAUACCGAGGCUCCAGCUUAUUACACCAUCGAGGCCCACCUGUACUACACCACUAAGGCACCGGAGUAUUACACCACAACCUUUGCUGCUCCAGCCUACUACACCGAGGCUCCCAAGCACGCUCCCAAGCACUAUACCACCAGAGAACCGGAUUACUACGCGACUACGUAUGCUGCCCCAGCUUACUACACCGAGGCUCCCAAGUAUUUCUCUGCUCCAGCUUACUACACCGGGGUCCUGAAUACUACUCUGCACCCAGCUACAUAACCCACAACUACACAGCGGUUGCUUCAUCGUACUACGUUGAUCCGAAUUACUACUCCGAGGUUCCAGUUUACUACACCAAAAUCUACACUGCCCCCCAGCUGCUACACUGAAGCUCCUGUUUACUGCAACACCAAGGUAUUCGAGUAUUAUCCCACAUUUACGCUUCUCCAACCUUCUACAUCGAAGCUGCGAAGUAUUACUUGCCCCAGUUACAACACCACUACAAAAAGACCGAAAAAGACUUAUUCUAAAUCCAAAAUUUUUCCUUGUAAAUGGAAAUUGAUCCUUAUUAGAAUACACUUUUAAUGCGAGUAA